AACCAGCAAGGCCAUAUGCUCCCCCUCCCCUACCUAAAACCCCAAAUAAAAACCCUUCCUUUUAGCUUUUUGGGGAGUUUGGGAUUUCAGCGUUAGCUGCCCUCUCUCCUUGCUCAGUGCUAUGCAAAAAUAAAAUUCCUGCUUUCUUCCACCACACCCAGUGUCAGGGAUUGGCUUGCUGCACAACGGGUGAGCGAACUCAUUUCAGAUUUUCUUCGAAUAUCUGAUAAUAUUUGUGGGAGAGAGAAUUGAAGGAAUUCCACUAGUGAUGGCAGAAAGAAAGAGAAGAAUAUAUAGAUGAAAUGGAGCAGAAUGGAAUGAGUGAGUGUGGGAUAAAGAUGAAGUUUUAGUGGAGGACAGAAGAUGUGAAAGUGUUGUUACCAGACUAAAGUAUUUCAAUAAUGGGGUAGCACAUCCAUUAGAGGAGAAAAGGAAGUUUGGCUUGACAGAACUGUUGUUAAAAUGGGAAUGGACUCAAGUCUUAACAUGUUAUGGUGAGCAAAAGAGGGCCACCAAGAUGAAGUUGAGAGAGGAUCAUUUCUAACAUUCCAAGUGUGGAGUGGGGAACCUUAUCCAGAGCCUGAAGAGCCUGGGGUAGGAAGUUGGACAAUUCACGACACAGAGCUCAAGAGGUCUCACCUGGCAGAUGGUACCUCAUAGGGGAAACUUUCAGACGACUGGAAGUCAAUGACACAAGAGUCAUGGCAGAAUCAUUGUAGAGGCUCUGUCUACUCUCACGAGGGUCUAAUCAGUGACUGAGGAGGAAGGCCAGAUUCUUCAGUGAAGGAAACUAGCAAAGGUGAGGUCUCUAUAUAAGAGGUCUGAGGCCCCUACCCAAGAGAAAGUCCUGAUAUUAGCAGUUCCCUAAAGAGACCACAGAAAAGGAAUCAACAUGGAAGGACAUUCCUACACACUCGUUCCUGGCUAGCUAAGAGGAGACAGGAACUACUGAACAUCAUCUAAAAUCUGAGUGGGAUGCAGGAAAAAAAUGUCCAGCCCCAGCCUGAGCUCACUCUCAUUAUAAGCUGGAUCUCUUUGUGUGCUCAGAUUUGACCUAGGAAAUGGGCUGGGUCUGGGCCAAGAGAUGAGGCUUAUCCAUAAAUCUAGUUGUAAGAGCUGAGGAAGGCAAAGGUAGGUGAAGUGAGACAGCAAGCUAACAUCAGAAUUUUGACCUGCCGAGGGCAGGGCCAGAUGAAUCAAUGAUUCUUAAACUUUGCUUGCAUUGGAGUCCCCUGGGGAGCUUGUAAAACUACAGCUGCACAGAUCCCACACCCAAAGAUAUAGAUCUACCUGGGGUGAGAUCCAAGCAUAUUUAUCUACUUAAUGAACCUUUUCUUUUAGAACAGUUUUAGAUUUAUGGAAUUAAUGCAAAAAAUAGGACAGAGACUUCCUGUAUAUCCUACAUCUAGUUUCUCCUAUUAACACCUUACAAUAGGAUGGAACACUUGUGACAAUUAAUGAACUGAUCCUGAAACAUUACUAUUAGCUAAUGUCUAUACUUUAUUCAUAUUUCCU
rnacentral:lncRNA from 1 species